GAUGAACGCUGGCGGCGUGCUUAACACAUGCAAGUCGAACGGAAAGGCCCAAGCUUGCUUGGGUACUCGAGUGGCGAACGGGUGAGUAACACGUGGGUGAUCUGCCCUGCACUUCGGGAUAAGCCUGGGAAACUGGGUCUAAUACCGGAUAGGACCACAUUUUGGAUGGUGUGGUGGAAAGUUUUUCGGUGUGGGAUGAGCUCGCGGCCUAUCAGCUUGUUGGUGGGGUAAUGGCCUACCAAGGCGUCGACGGGUAGCCGGCCUGAGAGGGUGUACGGUCACAUUGGGACUGAGAUACGGCCCAGACUCCUACGGGAGGCAGCAGUGGGGAAUAUUGCACAAUGGGCGCAAGCCUGAUGCAGCGACGCCGCGUGGGGGAUGACGGCCUUCGGGUUGUAAACUCCUUUCGCUAGGGACGAAGCGCAAGUGACGGUACCUGGAGAAGAAGCACCGGCUAACUACGUG
rnacentral:rRNA from 1 species